rnacentral:lncRNA from 1 species
ACACAAUAAUCUGAUCGUUUCAACAGUAAUACGGUAAUACCAAUCUAAACUAUAAUCCCUUAGAAUUUGCAUUUAAAUUUUGAUUCAAUCAGGCAUGUGCAUUGUGAGUAUUUUUGAAAAUUAUUAUGAAAUUGGUCAUAUGGCUUCUUAGAAAAUAACAACAUCUCAAAGAAUAGUGGAGCGUGAUGCUCCCAAUGAU